AUGUGUAGCCAUAUUCAUCAAACUUGUCUGCCAUCAGGCUCUCAGAAACUGUUUUUCCUGGAGUAGAAAUAAUCCCAGAGGAGAGAAAGGGAACAAGUACCAGAAUCCCCCAGGGAGGUCAAAACAAGAGGGAGAUGAAAGAGAAAAGGGGAGGUGGGGGGGAGGGAACCACAGAGGUCAAAGGUGACAAUAUUUUAUUCACAGAAUGAGUUCUGAAUAGAAAUAUUGCAUUGUGAACAAAAAGGUUUCAGCUCUUUGGAUGUAGAUGGUGCUGAWGGGGAACACACAGAGAAGGCUUAGGUUGUGGUUAGGAGAUGUGAGAAGCAGCAUUAGCAUCCUUUUGAUGACRAAAUAAAUCUCGGGCAUUACCAAACUUCUGUGAUGUUUCUUUGUGUAAAAAACAAAAGCCACAGCUCACAACCUUGGUUUGUCCUCUAAAACACAGCACAGACUAAUUACACUGAGCAGCAGUGUUUCUCAUGACGACACAGCAAUUCUUUGGUGGCUAUGGUUGGGAAACUCUUGUUGUUCGUCAAUAUGUGGUCACAAAUAUUCAGUGAUGAUGAAUGACGGGGAGAUAUCAGGAGUGAGAAAAURUAUUUUCUGCUCUCUCAGGAAGCAAAGUUCAUUCAAACUUCGAACGGAGCCGAGACCUAAUCAGAGUCACACAGAAAUACGAAAGCCAAGAACUUUCCCUGACUGAGCAAGUUAAUGACAAAUAGACGUGGGAAUUGGGACCCGACGUGUUUUCAAGCUCACUUCACAUUUACAGAACAUUUGCUCUCAGAAAAGGAAUAAAAACAGACACACUUUUGGGCUUUGGUUUCAGACAAACUACAGGGCUUAACGACAUGCUGCGCAAACUUUUUGGUUCAAUGCCCACAAAUAAGACAAAACUGAUGAUGAAGCACACAGACAGACGAAGAAGAAGAAUCCUGUCUUUCAUUAGGAGAUAUUAAACAAGGUUGUAAAAAUCAAAGUGAACCAGAGGGGGAAAAAAAA